GAACUGAAGAGUUUGAUCAUGGCUCAGAUUGAACGCUGGCGGCAGGCCUAACACAUGCAAGUCGAGCGGAUGACGGGAGCUUGCUCCUUGAUUCAGCGGCGGACGGGUGAGUAAUGCCUAGGAAUCUGCCUGGUAGUGGGGGACAACGUUUCGAAAGGAACGCUAAUACCGCAUACGUCCUACGGGAGAAAGCAGGGGACCUUCGGGCCUUGCGCUAUCAGAUGAGCCUAGGUCGGAUUAGCUAGUUGGUGGGGUAAUGGCUCACCAAGGCGACGAUCCGUAACUGGUCUGAGAGGAUGAUCAGUCACACUGGAACUGAGACACGGUCCAGACUCCUACGGGAGGCAGCAGUGGGGAAUAUUGGACAAUGGGCGAAAGCCUGAUCCAGCCAUGCCGCGUGUGUG
rnacentral:rRNA from 1 species